UACGAAGGGGGCUAGCGUUGCUCGGAAUCACUGGGCGUAAAGCGCACGUAGGCGGAUUGUUAAGUCGGGGGUGAAAUCCUGGAGCUCAACUCCAGAACUGCCUUCGAUACUGGCGAUCUUGAGUCCGGGAGAGGUGAGUGGAACUCCGAGUGUAGAGGUGAAAUUCGUAGAUAUUAGGAAGAACACCCGUGGCGAAAGCGGCGCGCUGGACCACUACUGACGCUGAGGAACGAAAGCUAGGGGAGCAAACAGG
rnacentral:rRNA from 1 species